rnacentral:rRNA from 1 species
CCUACGGGUGGCAGCAGUGAGGAAUAUUGGUCAAUGGACGAGAGUCUGAACCAGCCAAGUAGCGUGAAGGAUGACUGCCCUAUGGGUUGUAAACUUCUUUUAUAUGGGAAUAAAAUGUUCCACGUGUGGGAUUUUGUAUGUACCAUAUGAAUAAGGAUCGGCUAACUCCGUGCCAGCAGCCGCGGUAAUACGGAGGAUCCGAGCGUUAUCCGGAUUUAUUGGGUUUAAAGGGAGCGUAGGUGGAUUGUUAAGUCAGUUGUGAAAGUUUGCGGCUCAACCGUAAAAUUGCAGUUGAAACUGGCAGUCUUGAGUACAGUAGAGGGGGGCGGAAUGCGUGGUGUAGCGGUGAAAGGUUUAGAUAUCACGAAGAACUCAGAUUGCGAAGGCAGCUCACUGGACUGCAACUGACACGGAGGCUCGAAAGUGUGGGUAUCAAACAGGAUGAGAUACACGUGUAGUC